rnacentral:sRNA from 1 species
AGAGCUGGGUCAGAGCUCGAGCCAGCGGCGCCCGGAGAGACUCGGAGAUGCAGGCGGCUCGGAUGGCCCCGAGCUUGGGGCGGCAGCUGCUGAGGCUCGGGGUCGGAAGGUCUGUGUGUGACAAGUGGGACGGUGGGCAGCGGCCCUGGGCACCGGGCCAGGACUGAACUCCCACUCCCCACAGCUCGCGGCUCACGGCGCUCCUGGGGCAGCCCCGGCCCGGCCCUGCCCGGCGGCCCUAUGCCGGAGGUGCCGCUCAGCUGGCUCUGGACAAGUCAGAUUCCCACCCCUCUGACGCUCUGACCAGGAAAAAACCGGCCAAGGCGGUAGGUAGCCCCGAGGCCAGGUGGACCUUAGCCAGACCCAACCAGAGCCCUGAAAUUCGCCUCUCUCUGCCCAGGAAUCUAAGUCCUUUGCUGUGGGAAUGUUCAAAGGCCAGCUCACCACAGAUCAGGUGUUCCCAUACCCGUCCGUGCUCAACGAAGAGCAGACACAGUUUCUUAAAGAGCUGGUGGAGCCUGUGUCCCGUUUCUUCGAGGAAGUGAACGAUCCUGCCAAGAAUGACGCUCUGGAGAUGGUGGAGGAGACCACUUGGCAGGGCCUCAAGGAGCUGGGGGCCUUUGGUCUGCAAGUGCCCAGUGAGCUGGGUGGUGUGGGCCUUUGCAACACCCAGGGGAGACUGUGGCCGCUUUCUGUCUAACUGAGCCCUCAAGCGGGUCA